UACGAAGGGGGCUAGCGUUGCUCGGAAUCACUGGGCGUAAAGCGCACGUAGGCGGAUUGUUAAGUCAGGGGUGAAAUCCUGGAGCUCAACUCCAGAACUGCCCUUUGAUACUGGCGAUCUUGAGUCCGGGAGAGGUGAGUGGAACUGCGAGUGUAGAGGUGAAAUUCGUAGAUAUUCGCAAGAACACCAGUGGCGAAGGCGGCUCACUGGCCCGGGUACUGACGCUGAGGUGCGAAAGCGUGGGGAGCAAACAGG
rnacentral:rRNA from 1 species